CAUUGUUUGGUAGAGAUGUUUGGAGCGAGAGAUGGGAAAAUGGGUUUUUGUUAUUACACUUUUCUCUCCCUCGUUCCAUACAUCAUCUAGCGAACAUGGU
rfam:Lupinus angustifolius cultivar Tanjil chromosome LG01, whole genome shotgun sequence.